UACGUAGGGUGCAAGCGUUGUCCGGAAUUAUUGGGCGUAAAGAGCUCGUAGGCGGUUUGUCGCGUCUGUCGUGAAAGCCCACGGCUUAACUGUGGGUCUGCGGUGGAUACGGGCAGACUAGAGGCAGGUAGGGGAGAAUGGAAUUCCAGGUGUAGCGGUGAAAUGCGUAGAUAUCUGGAGGAAUACCGGUGGCGAAGGCGGCAUCCUGGACCGGCAUUGACGCUGAGGAGCGAAAGCCAGGGGAGCAAACGGG
rnacentral:rRNA from 1 species